UGGGGAAUUUUGGACAAUGGGCGAAACCCUGAUGCAGCGACGCCGCGUGAACGAUGAAGCCCUUCGGGGUGUAAAGUUCUUUCGACGGGGACGAUAAUGACGGUACCCGGAGAAGAAGCUGCGGCUAACUACGUGCCAGCAGCCGCGGUAAUACGUAGGCAGCAAGCGUUGUUCGGAAUUACUGGGCGUAAAGAGUGCGUAGGUGGUUGGCUAAGUUUGGUGUGAAAUCUCCCGGCUUAACUGGGAGGGUGCGCCGAAAACUGGUUGACUAGAGUGUGGGAGAGGGACGUGGAAUUCCUGGUGUAGCGGUGAAAUGCGUAGAUAUCAGGAGGAACACCUGCGGUGUAGACGGCGUCCUGGACCAUGACUGACACUGAGGCACGAAAGCGUGGGGAGCAAACA
rnacentral:rRNA from 1 species